AUUGAACGCUGGCGGCAUGCCUUACACAUGCAAGUCGAACGGCAGCACGGGAGCAAUCCUGGUGGCGAGUGGCGAACGGGUGAGUAAUAUAUCGGAACGUGCCCAGUCGUGGGGAUAACGUAGCGAAAGCUACGCUAAUACCGCAUACGAUCUAAGGAUGAAAGCGGGGGAUUCGCAAGAACCUCGCGCGAUUGGAGCGGCUGAUAUCAGAUUAGGUUGUUGGUGAGGUAAAGCUCACCAAGCCGACGAUCUGUAGCUGGUUUGAGAGAACGACCAGCCACACUGGGACUGAGACACGGCCCAGACUCCUACGGGAGGCAGCAGUGGGGAAUUUUGGACAAUGGGCGCAAGCCUGAUCCAGCAAUGCCGCGUGCAGGAUGAAGGCCUUCGGGUUGU
rnacentral:rRNA from 1 species